rnacentral:lncRNA from 1 species
GGGAAAUGUCUAUCCUGCCAGCAGUGGAACACUCCUUUGGCACCACUUCACCUAAAACUUGAUCGAAUCCAAAAAUUAGUACAACUUUCCAAACCAGUCUCCUGCUGUUUUCAUUCACAGCUCCCUAAUUCACGUCCUAAGUAGCUGGGGCUUGCAAAAGCAGGUGCUACUUAGACACAAACAUUUGUACCUUAUGUUGCCUCUCCGAAUCUUGCGCUCAACUCACCCAGUAAGUUAGAAUAUGUUAAAUGUUCUAUCCCUUGUGUUUUUAAACCCCCACCAAUUUGCUGAAUUGUCUAUUUACCCUCCUACCAAACAGGAGUUAGCGAAGUCCUAUCCUGAUUGGUAUUACAUAGUUCUCGUAAAUUAAAUGAUUCCUUUCUCCCUCUUUAUUUUUCAGCAAGCAGAACUCCAUUAAUUACAAAGAAACAUAAAAUAUAUUAAUGUUCUUUUGUUCCUUCAACAUAAGCAUUUGCUUUCUUACAUAAGCAGAUAAUCCCUUUGUAUACUGGCCAGACCACUAGAAGAGCUAAAUGGCAAGAAUAAGCAUUUCUGGAAACCAAAAGAAAUUUUAAUGAAAUGGGAAAAGUUUUAAAAAUGCCAAGAAAAGGAAGGUGGACUCUUUACAUUUAUAAUUCCAGUUUCUAUUUUGUAUCAAUAUAUGCUGCAUUUUCUGACUGAAACUGCUCUUCUAAUGAAACCUGAGAUUUUCUGUAGCCACUUUUAACAUUUGAAAUCAAACUUUCACACAGGGGGUUCAACGGUAACCUGUUAGGGAUUUGAUUAAAAUAGUCUAACCGUUUCAUUAAUUCCCUUUUUAUGGGCUUUGAGUAUGGACGUCAUGACUUCACUAUCUCAAAAACUGUGGACAGAAAUCUAUGAAGCCUGUAGACUGUGGUUUCUACACCUCAAAGAAGACACAGAUCUCCCUCUAAGCAGUGAAUCAGCGAAUAAGAAACUGCAGUGUCCUCCGAUUCCUGACCCUUCCACCUUUCAUGGCCUUUUUUCUAUUCCCAUUCAUUGAGCGGUCAUGUGUUCUUGUAAAACAGAGAACAACUUACAUGCAAUCAGGUAUGGACACAAGAAAUGCGCGUGCACUCGAUUUCAGGACUCAGAUACUCCCACAGUCUCAGGACUGCGGUUCACUCGGCAUUCUUGUUAAUGGUGUGGCUUUGCUAGAAAAUAAGUUGCUGUUUCCUUUGCUCUAGUACUUCAGGAUUUUAAAUGUUUCAGCAAAUGAAAGAAAGAAAACACAUUUUAAGGCUGGUGUCAAAAACCAUCAGCUAUACUUGCAAAAAGCCGUGGUGCAGCUUCUGCCGUGUAGUUUAUUGCUAUAAAUAUGUACAGUUUAUGUUUUAUUCCUAAAACACAGAUAAAAGCUUAGUGUGUACUGUGCUCAAAGACAUGCAAGAUUUCAGGCCUAUCUUUUUAUAAUCCUUAAAAAUGUUUAGAAUUCUGAAUCUAUCAUUUCGGAGUCUUUAUUAUAAGAUUUAAUACAAAGCAAAAUCCCUUUAUUUGGAAGAAAUUCUUUGCAGUGUUAUCCAACAAUCCAACAAGUACUGGGGGCAAAGUACCAGCACUUUUUCAGGAGCUUAUUUCUGUACCACUUUGAUUUUUAGGGGUAAGAAAUUCUUUAAGAUAACACGCCUUACGAACAUUUGGACACAUGGAGUGUUCAUGUACUAGAAAAAAAGAAGAAAUUGUCUCUUUGUAUUAAAAAAUGAUGCCUAAAAUGGACUUUAAUAGCAUCCAUUUGUGAGGUGCAUUAUGUCAAAUUUCUUUUAAAAUCUGCACUGUAAAUACGAAUAUCAGGGUUGGGGUAUUUGUCGUCUUUCCUAACUGGAAGACCUCCAAACUCCAAAUUCAUUGUCUCCCCUCAGAAAUAAUAUGUUGACAAUAA